GGCCGGGCAAGGUGCGGGGCUAGGGCUAACAGCAGUCUUACUGAAGGUUUCCUGGAAACCAUACACAUGCUGUUGCCACUAACCUCAACCUUACUCUGUC
ensembl:miRNA microRNA 744